GUCCACGCCGUAAACGAUGGGUACUAGGUGUAGGGGGUAUCGACUCCCUCUGUGCCGCCGUUAACACAAUAAGUACCCCGCCUGGGGAGUACGGUCGCAAGAUUAAAACUCAAAGGAAUUGACGGGGACCCGCACAAGCAGCGGAGCAUGUGGUUUAAUUCGAAGCAACGCGAAGAACCUUACCUAGACUUGACAUCUCCUGCAUUACUCGUAAUUGAGGAAGUCCCUUCGGGGACAGGAAGACAGGUGGUGCAUGGUUGUCGU
rnacentral:rRNA from 1 species